rnacentral:lncRNA from 1 species
CUGGCGAAGCACCAAAUCAAAAACUCGAAAUGGAUCAAUUGCAAAGCCAACUUCGAGGGAAAAUCGGUGGGAAAAAAUAUUUGCUUGUUUUGGAUGACAUUUGGAAUGAGGAGUGGGAAGAAUGGGUUAGUUUAAAAGAGUUGUUAGUAGGUGGGGCUAAAGGAAGUAGGAUAAUAGUAACUACUCGCUCUUUGAGAGUAGCAAAAAUUACUAGUAAAUGUCAGCCUUAUGUUCUGAAAGGCUUGUCUGAUGACGAUGCUUGGUCUUUGUUCAAAGAAAUAGCAUUUGAGCAAAGAUCUAUAAACCCAACCUUUGUGAAAAUAGGGAAACAGAUCUUGGAAAGGUGUGGUGGGGUUCCCUUGGUUAUUAGGACCAUAGCUGGUGCGUUAUCUUUCAAAGAAACUGAAAAGGAGUGGAGUUCUUUCAAAGAUAAUGAACUUGCUAGAAUAUCUCAAAACGAAGGUAAAAUUCUAGCUACACUUAAGUUGAGCUACGAUCAUCUCCCAUCCCAUUUGAAACAUUGCUUUGCUUAUUGCCGACUGUAUCCAAAAGAUCAUAAAAUUCAUGUACAAACUCUUGUUCAAUUUUGGAUUGCACAAGGUUUCGUAAAGCAAUUGAAUCCAAGUCAAUCUCUCGAGGAGAUCGGGUUUGUGUAUUUUAAAGAUUUAAACGAAAGAGGUUUCUUCCAAGAAGUAGGAGAAAGAUAUUCGUGGGAAGGACUAACAUGUAAAAUGCAUGAUUUAAUGCAUGAUCUAGCUGAAUCAGUAGCCGGGACGGAGAGUAGUAUUGUAGAUUCAAAUGAAAUUGCAAGUAAGGUUGGUGAAAAGUGUCGCCACAUAUCAAUUGAUCCUUCAUUAAUUGUUUUGUUUAAAGGAAAGAAGUUGCGAACCAUGUUACACUUUCCAAAUUAUGAGAGAAAUCAAAAUAUGAAUGACGAAAUUUGGGAUUUUAUCAUUUCAAAUUAUAGAUGCUUGCGUGUAUUGGAAUUGAAUGGUUUAGAUUUUAAGAUGAUUCCACGCUCCAUUUGUAAGUUGAAACAUUUGAGGUACCUUGAUCUUUCUGGGAAUUUUAAUAUUAAGAUCCUCCCAAAGAGCAUUUGCAAGAUACAAAAUUUGCAAGCUUUGAAACUUAACUUAUGUUGGGAGCUUGAAGAAUUGCCGAAGAAGAUUGAAAAAUUGGUGAAUCUUACCCAUCUUGGGUGUGAAGAUUGUAGUGGCUUAACUCAUAUGCCACGUGGAAUAGGGAAGCUGACUUCCCUUGAGACGUUAAGCAAGUUUGUAGUGGACAAAGAUGGCUCACGUGACGGUGCAGAUCUAAGUGAAUUGAGUGGGCUUAACAACUUAACGGGACGGCUAGAGAUAACAAAUUUGGGAUUCGUAAAAAAUGCAAAAGAGAAGUUUAAAGCUGCUAAUUUGAAAGAGAAGCAACAUUUGAGAUUGUUGGUCUUAGUAUGGAAUGAUUAUGGUGACGACGACGACGACAGCGGUAAUGAUGAUGAUGAUGAUGACAAGUCACUUGAAGACCUCCGGCCCCAUCCCAAUCUCAAGGAGCUCUUUAUUGGAGGAUGGAGGAGUGAUGCCAAGUUUCCAAGUUGGCUUUCUUUGCUCACAAACCUCAUCGUGAUUAGAAUAUGGGGUCCUAGUAAUUUCAAACAAAUCCCGUCCUUUGCGCAAUUGCCUUGUCUUCAAAAGCUGUCAAUUGUUGAUUUAACUCUGCUGGAGUACAUGGACGAUAAUAGCCCAAAAGGAAGUCAAGGAGAACCAGAAUCAUUCUUCCCAUCGCUUAAGUCUCUUUGCCUCGAGAAUUGCCCAAAUAUGAAGAGUUGGUGGAGGAAAAGCUCGAUUGAUGAUGAUAACGAGGAUGACACAACAGUUAUAGGAACAUCAACCAUGGCAUUUCCUUGUCUUUCCUCUUUAGAAAUUGUAAAUUGCCCUUUGACUUCAAUGCCGUUGUAUCCUUCACUCGAUGAUGAUCUAAGGUUGGUGAAGACCAGUUCAAGGCCUUUAAAGCAGACCAUGAAGAUGAACAUCACUAGUACGACCCCAUCAAGUUCCACUUCUUCUCUUCCUCUCUCCAAAUUGAAAUCUUUCCAUGUACACAAAAUUGAGGGAUUGGACACUCACAUGCUAGAUGAGUACUUGAAACAUUUCACCGGCCUCAAAAAAUUAACAAUAGGAGAUUGCAAGGAGGUUGAUUUAGGGGGCAUGCAAUGGGAAGCCCUUAAGAAUCUCUCUCAUUUGGGGAUUAUUAAUAUUCCACAGCUGGUGUCUCUCCCCCUUUGGCUUCAACAUCUUGUUCAAUUGAAAAGAUUAGAAAUUUGGAAUUGCAGCGGAUUGAGGUCACUCUUUCCUGUGUUCCAACAUCUCACUUUCCUUGAAGAUCUUUUAGUAAGCAAGUGCAAGGAGCUGGAGCUAUCAGCAGCUGGCUUACAAAUAUUCCAAGAUCAGACAAGACUACGCUCCUUAGCACUGGAAAAUAUUUCAAAGUGUCGGCAUCUUCCGGAGUGGAUUCAACAUCUAACAAAUCUGCAAAUUCUUUCUCUUGUUGAUUGGCCCAAUUUAACGUCACUUCCGGAUGAGAUGCGCUGCCUAACCAAUUUGCAACAGUUAAAUAUACACGAGGUUCCUCAGUUGGAAGAAAGGUGUCAGAAGGACAUUGGUGCCGAUUGGUAUAAGAUUGCUCACAUACCUUCAGGUUGGUCUUUUCAUUAAUUUCCUUAUUGAAAUACUACUCAUUUUCCAUAAUAUUUUUGUUAAUUUUGCGCAGUAACCCAUUGGCCUGCUGUUGGAUAUAUCUGAAAAGCAUUUGACAACUUUAAGAAAUUAGAUGCAGAAAAAGAGGUGGUAACUACUUAAAUGGUUUACAUUUUUAAAUCAUAAAAUCUCACAAUUUCAGAUGAUCUAAUAUAACCCCCUAACUAAGCUUCUUCUUUUUCAGCAUGUGUUCAAUUGAAGAGCCAAAAAACAGGACAUGCGUUCUUCAUCAGCUGACCUGUCCAUGGCAUUGUACUCCCAUGAAAUCCUCCUCUCCAUGCACACGUGUUCUUUCUUUUCUUCGUUGAAGAGUCCCUCUGAUGAUCUAAUCCUAAUUUCUGCUAGAUUUUGGCUCUCUUUUUCGGCAGAGCACAGCAUAUAUUACAAGAAGCAGAGGCCAUACUUUCAACUACGAUUUUUUCGUCUGCCAAAAAUAUUCCAACUCAAGAAAAAUGGUAAUAUAUGGUUCCCAUGCCACUGACAGAUUCUUGGUGUCGUGUUGGAGAGAGCUUAAACACGCAAUGUGGUUGUCAUGUAAGUAAAUUGAAUAGGGGGUAGGGGCUAAGGGUUGAUAAAAAUGGAGGGGGAAGAGAGGGAUAUUUCACAAUAUUCUUUGAUGCAGGGCACCCCUUUUAACUGUUUGAAUUUUGAAGGUUAAAUCAUGGAAGGAUCUUGCUUCAGAAUAUUUGGUGGUGAGGAUGAGGUUGAUGCUCUAUGUUUGGGAAUGGGAGUUCGUUACUAUUACAGAUUACGAUGCCCUAUGUUUGGCCCUUUGUUGAACUUGAACUGAAAAAGCAUAGAAAAUGGCCAGUCAUGCACAUAAAUAAAGUUCUGUUUAGCAACAGUAAGUGUUUCUAUAUUUGGACACUGCUCAGUCUAAAUGGCAUCAAUUUUAACAUAUUCCAUGUUUGCAUUUAUAAUUUCCAGGUUCAUUGUUGCUUUUGGAACAGUCUCGUUGUUGAAGCAUGAUAAUGUCGGAGAUAUUGCAUUUGGAAAUUUAUUAUUCCACUUUACACGGAGCAUAUGAAGAGUUUGACCAAUCCUAGAGCAUAUGUAUAGAUGAUUUAUUUUAUGAAUGAUGUGUGAAUUUAAAGAAGCACAUAUCUUCAUAAUAGGAGCUAUUAUUGAGUGACAUUGUUAUACACCAUCCGAGUGUUUAUUUUCACUUGCAUAGUUAAAAAGAAUUGGAAGAGAAAUUACUUAACUAUACAAAGGUGAGGUUGUAUCAAGUGUUUGAGGGGUAAAGCUAAAUCACUCUUGUGUAGUAUGAAGUUCAUAGUAUAUUUAUCUCUAGGCAAGGCCUCGCAGAUGUGGUACGACUUCUAAAGUAUAUAAACAUCUUGAUUAUAUUUUUUAUUUUAUUUUGUUGCAUGAUACCGGCCAAAAAAAAACACACAUAUUUUUUAAUGUUCCAACAUGUAUGUACAGGAGGAUUUCAAUAGAAUAGAGUGGCAGGGAUGGAUCAGCUCGUGAAGAAUGCAGGUCUUAUUUUGCAUCUUCCAUUUAACUAAUGCAGACAAAACUAAGCAUUAAUUAUGCGGUUCUAAUACAUCAGUUUAUUACAUCAGAAAAUUUACCAAGUUCGUUUAGAUUCAUGAAUUUUCCAUAUUAGUAUCACUAAAAAUGUUCAAGGUAAUCCAUACUGAUAGUCUUGAGGCAGUUAAGAUUAUUUAGGAGAGAUCUAUAGGUGGAUCCAAUUCAGUUUAAGUUAGAAGGAUUUGUUAGUUGCUGAUACAGCUUGAUCAUUCAAAUAUUUCGUAUACUUCUAGAAUGAAUAAUCAAAAGGCUAAUACUUUGGCCAAGCUCGCACAUGAAGGUAGACAUAGUUUGCUAGUUUUUGUGACAUCCCUAUUAAAGGGAUUGGUUACCGUUCAAAUUAGCAAAAGAAAAUGAUAAAUGAAGUAACAAAGUAACUUCAAUUUACAAAAUAUGGUAUUGAUGGCACCAAAAACCUUAUGCCAAUCGGCACCGAUGUCCUUCCCAUUGAAAAUUGUUAACUCUUUUACAAUUUGAUCGUAUUUAAUUCUUUUUAAUAAUGUAGGAACUAAAUUGAUUCAUUUAAUAACAAAAGGACUAAUUUGAUAUAGUCUAUAAUAUGGGGACUUCUUAGAUGCCUUAACCCGUAAUGUGUGUGAAAUGUUUUAAAAAAUUUGCAAUUAAGCCCAUGUAAGUUGUUGCACCAUAUCAAUUAAAAAAAUUGAUGUUUGUGAACCUUAAUUUUGUAUUUUCUUUUAACUUUAAGAAAAAAAAAAGGAUUUUUGAGCCUAUUUUUUGAAUAAAUAAAUCAGGCACUAACUAGUGGACCAAGUGGUAGAAUGCUACAUUUAUUUACUCAUUAUUAUGAAAUUAUUAAUUAUUAAUUUUUUAACGAAAAAAGGAAAAUAUAAUAUCUAGGUAAAAUAAAUCAUACACUAAUUUGCCACGUAAGCAGUUAGUUACUUUUUUUUUAAAUUUAAAAUUCCAAUAAUAUAUAAAAAAAGUAUUUUAAAAAGUAUUUAAAUUAUAAAAACAUAUAAAAAAACAUAUUUAUCAUGCCUUUUAAUUUUUAAAAAUUAAUUAAUUGCUAACAUGACAUACAUAUGGUAAUCCACGUGUACAUACGAUAUGUAUGUCACGUCAGUAAAGUUAACAAACGUUAACCUUUUCAACCAUUUUAAGGUGACUUGACAAAAAAUAUAAAUUUAAAGGUUAAAAGAGAUAAUAAAAAAAGCUAAAAUAAUUUUUUUUGUAAAGUUAGAGAGUUAAAAAGUCAUUAUAUAUUUUUUUUUCAAAAUAAGAAAUUUUAUAUUGAUGAUACUUUAUACGUAAGUGCAUGUUACCCCAUGAUAUUUAUUUUUAUAAAUUCACCAUAAAAAUUAAUUUAAUGUAUAGAGUUUUUUGUCAUAUUUGAGGUUGACUAUUGUAACAAUGGGAUUAAAACUAAUUGUGAAAUAUAUAUUUGAACUCAAUUGUAAAUGUUGUACUGAUAGAAGGUGUUUAGAAAGUAACUACUAAAGACAUUAAGUUCAAAUUCAUCUAUAUGUAAAAUAAAUAAUUAAGGAUUUAUUUAAAAUUAAAACAUCUUAAAUAAUAAUUGAAAAUAUCAAUGUUAUGUUUAUAUUUAAAAUAUAUUAUAUUUUAUAUUAAAUUAUAAAAUAUACAUAAAAUUGUAUGUUUUAAUUUUUUAUUAAAUUAGUAGUUAAAAUCACUUAAAAUUUUUAUUUCAUUAUUAUUUUCUUUCAAACUUUUAUUUUUUGAAUUUUUUAUGCCGGCAAUAUUUUAAUUAUGUUCCACAAUUUGAAUAUUAUUUACUACAUAAAAUAAAAAUAUAUAAAAUCAUGUUAUACGUAUAAUAUUAAAAAUUAGUAUAUAAAAAAUAAUUGGGUUGUUUCUUCAAAAUUAUUAAUAUAUAUAUAUAUAUAUAUCUUGAAGUGAAAAACAAAAAAUGGAAACUACAUAAGAGCUUAUGUGUGUUGUCUUUUUCUUUAUCAUGCUUGAAACAGAGUCGAAGUCGGGAAAUCUUUUUAGGGGCUAAAAUUAAAUUGUAAUUUUUGCAAUAGAAAAAAUGUAAUUUCACCAUUUUACUAACUUAUAUCUUUAUAAUUUUUAAAAAUUAAAUCUAACUUUUAUCAUUUUUAGAAGGCCAAAGUACAAUUUUACAUUUAUUAAUUUUUUAAAGGGCUUAAAUAAAAAAAAUUCUAUUUUAGAAAAGAUCAGAGCCCUGUCAACCCCUAAUUACUACGCCCUUGACUUGAAAGUACUUAUAAAGGUCUAUCAUGGCACAAGGCAAAAUUCCAAGCAUCUAAUUGUUAUUUUCUCCCUUUGUUUUCCUUAUAACAAGAGUAUAGUAAAAUAGUAAUAGAGACAGUAACAAUUAUCAUAAUAUAUAAUUAUAGACAUGAUAAUCAUUGUCACCAAAAAUACCAAAGUUAAAUUUUGUGAGUGAAAGAGGUGGAAAUGAGAUAUUAGUGCUUGCAAAUUAAGUGAAUUUGACUCAAAAGAAAAAUUCAAAUUCGAUUCGGUAGUUAUUGAGUUGGGUUUAAGCUAUUGAUUUAGUCGAAUUUAAGUUUAGUAAUGUUUGAUUCUAAUGACUCACUAAUCUUAUUAAUUUUUUUAUUUUUAAUAUAUAUUUUAUAUAUUUUAUCUUAUUAAAUUACAUUACAAGCUUAAUUUAAUUUAAAUAACUCAUUUAUAUCUUGAAAUCAAACUCGAAGAUAUUUAAUUUUAACUCAAAGAAUUCGGACUCGGCUUUAGAAAGAUUUGAAUGCAUGUGCCUGAACCUACAGUGAAUUCCAUGGGAUUUGUCUCUUUCUUCUCUUUUCUUUCAUAGUUUUUUCACUAAUUUCAUUUAUUUCUACAAACGGACAAAUUUUGCCGAAGUUGAUGUAAUUGUGCAGAGCACCCCAAAUGUCAUCAUCCCAACUUUGUCUUCAUUGAGAAAUUUUUAAAAUUUUAAAUUAAUAAAAAUAAAAUUAUAUUUUAAUCUUUAAAACAAUAAAAAUUUAAUUUAAUCAUUUAAAUCUAUCAUUUAAUCUCGGCCAAUCAACAUUAUUCUCAUUUAACUAUACUACUAGGUGGGUGGAUGGUAACAUCUUUAAAAUACUGUCUCUGCGUGUAUGAAUCCACAUCUGUUGUUGCGGAAAGGAUCGAUUCGAGAACUCCGAUAUGACUACAAGUAAAUUGACCGGAACGAAAAAUAAAGUGAACACAAGGAUUUACGUGGUUCGGCUUUAAUGCCUACGUCCACGGGCAGAGGCGAAAAGAAAUUUCACUAUAACAAGAUGAAGAUUACAAGUGUUUUACACUCAAGACACAACCCGAGAACCUCACAACUCUCAACCCCUAUAGAAAACCCGAAAGCUAAAAUCCUAGCUUUCAAAGAACAAGCUUUGCUCUCUCUUGGUUUGGGAUGAUGAAUAUGGCUAAUGAACCUCUCUAUUUAUAAGAGAGUUCAAGGACAUAAUUGUCCAAAACUUUGGCAAAGAUUUGUGGUUGAAAAUGGACACCAACAACCAUCCACUAAUCCACUACCACCAACAACCCACUACCAACAACAACAAUCCACUACCAAUUUUAAGCCAUUUCUUAACAAAUCUCCACCUUGGCUUGAAAUUUACCAAGCUGAACAUCAUAGUGAACUGGAUCACCUCUUCCAAACGCCUCUCUGGCGCUAAUCAAUCCCGAAUACCUAUCAAGUCCAAGCAAUGCUUGAACUUAUAUGCAGGGAUCACCUUAGUUAACAUAUCUGCAGGAUUCUUCUCGGUAGCAACCUUGCUGAUAACAAUGUCACCUUGCGUAACAUGUUCCCGAACAAAAUGAUAUCUGACAUCAAUGUGUUUGGUCCGUUCAUGAAACAUCUGAUUUUUAGUCAGAUGUAUGGCACUCUGGCUAUCGCAAAAUACAACAGUGAAAUCCUGUUGUAAACCCAAACUGCUUACUAGACCUUUCAUCCACAAUGCUUCUUUCACUGCUUCUGCUAACGCCAUAUAUUCCGCCUCAGUCGUAGAUAAGGCUACGGUAGACUGUAACACAGCUUUCCAACUAAUGGCUCCUCCAGAAUAAGUGAAAACAUAACCCGUCAGAGAUCUUCUUUUGUCCAGAUCUCCAGCAUAAUCAGAGUCCACAUAGCCCGUGACACUGCUAGUGCAGUCACUCUGAUCAUAUACCAAGCAUAAAUCUGCAGAACCUCUCAAGUACCUGAGAAUCCAUUUCACGGCCUGCCAGUGUUCCUUGCCAGGACAACUCAUGUAUCUGCUGACCACACUAACUGCAUGUGAAAUGUCUGGACGAGUGCAAACCAUUGCAUACAUCACGCUUCCAACUGCACUCGAGUAUGGAAUGUGAGACAUUUGCUGCUUUUCUUCAUCAGAUUGUGGUGACAACUCUGCAGAGAGUUUGAAAUGUGGUGCCAACGGAGUACUCACAGUUUUCGCUUUAUCCAUGCCGAAGCGUUGAAGAACCUUUUCAAUGUAGUUCUUCUGCGACACACGAAGCUUGCCCGCCUUGCGAUCUCUGUGAAUAUCCAUGCCCAAAAUUUUCUUGGCAGCACCCAGAUCCUUCAUCUCGAACUCACCACUCAACUGCGACUUUAACUUGUUGAUUUCCGACAUGUUUUUGGAAGCAAUUAACAUGUCAUCAACAUACAGCAACAAAUAAAUGUGCGAACCAUCUGAGAGCUUCCGAUGAUAGACACAAGCAUCAUAGUCACAUCUUGUGUAACCAUGCUGAAUCAUGAAGCUAUCAAACCGCUUGUACCACUGCCUUGGGGAUUGUUUCAAUCCAUAUAAAGACUUCUUUAAUAGACAGACAUGGUCUUCUUUACCAGGAACUGUAAAACCCUCUGGUUGACGCAUGUAGAUUGUUUCCUCGAGCUCACCAUGCAAGAACGCCGUUUUUACGUCAAGCUGCUCAAGUUCUAGAUCAGACUUGGCCACCAUGGCAAGUAAUACACGAAUGGAAGAAUGCUUUACUACUGGGGAGAAAACUUCAUUGUAGUCAAUCCCCUCUUUCUGAGUGAAGCCUUUAGCAACCAAUCGUGCCUUGAAUCUAGUUGCUUCAACCCCUAGGAUGCCUUCCUUUUUCUUGAAGACCCAUUUGCAACCAACUAUCUUCUGGUUACUUGGCGGCUUAACCAACUCCCAAGUAUGGUUCUUGUGAAGAGAUUCUAUCUCCUCACUCAUAGCAAUUGCCCACUGUGCCGACUCAUCACACGUGACAGCCUCAUUAUAACUGGAAGGUUCUAUACCAAUGGACUCCGCCACACUGAGCGCGAAAGACACCAGAUUAGCGUAACGCGGAUUUGGUUUGAUUUGUCUCUUCGUUCUUCCAGUGGCAAUGCUAUAUGGUUUUUCUUGAGGUGACUCAUCUUCAUCGGAAUCUUGCACCUCAACUUGAUCAUCCUGGACUGAAGUACCUUCCGUAGGAAUUGGAGCGUCCACCUGACACUCCACCUGCUUCUCAACACCGUGAUCUCCCAUUCUAUCUGACUCCUCCUUUUCCCGGGAAUUUGUGGUGGAUCGAAGCAUGGAUGACUCAUCAAAAGUCACAUCUCUGCUGAUGAUGAACUUGGACGAAACCGGAUCAGGACACCACAACCUGUAUCCUUUCACCCCUUGGCCGUAUCCAAGAAAUAUGCAUUUCUUCGCCCUCGGUUUGAGUUUUCCCUCAUUUACAUGAGCAUACGCAGGGCAGCCAAACACUCUUAAACCAGAGUAAUCAGCAGGAGAACCAGACCAUACUUCCUCAGGAGUCUUCAGCUCAAUAGCUGUUGACGGAGAUCUGUUAACCAAAUAACAAGCAGUAUUAACAGCUUCAGCCCAAAAUUCUUCACCGAGCCCAGCAUUUGAUCGCAUGCAACGAGCUCGCUCCAAGAGAGUUCUAUUCAUGCGUUCUGCAACUCCAUUUUGUUGUGGUGUUCGACGAACAGUGCGGUGUCUCACUAUUCCUUCAUUUUUGCAGAACUCAUUGAAUUCACCUGAGCAAAACUCCAAGCCAUUAUCCGUCCGGAAUCGCUUGAUCUUCUUUCCUGUUUGAUUUUCGAUCAAAGCUUUAAAUUGCUUGAAGUUGAUGAGAACCUCAUACUUGCUCUUCAGAAAAUACACCCAAACCUUUCUCGAGUAAUCAUCGAUAAAGGUAAGCAGAUAUCUGUAACCACCUUUAGAAAUUGUCGGAGAAGGCCCCCAAAGGUCAGAAUGGAAGUAAUCCACUGUGCCUUUUGUCUUGUGAAUCCCAGUGCUGAACUUUACCCGAGUCUGCUUACCGAAGACGCAGUGCUCACAGAAAUUCAACUUUCCUGUACACUGCCCAGACAAUAAUCCUCGUUUGCUUAGCACCGAUAAGCCUCUCUCGCUCAUAUGCCCGAGCCGCAUAUGCCAUAACUUCGUGGUGUCAGAAUCUAGAUCAUCUGAUGAUGACACUCCCGCAACACCUGUAACCGAGGAACCAUCGAGGAAGUAAAGGCCCCGCUCCAAAUUACCACGUAUCACAGUCAAAGCACCCGAGAAUACCUUGAGAACUCCACCUUCAGCAGAGUACCGAAAGCCUUUCUUGUCCAACGUACUCAAAGAGAUCAAAUUUUUCUUCAUUUCUGGAAUGUGCCGAACAUCAGUUAGAGUUCUAACAAUACCGUCAAACAUCUUUAUACGAACUGUGCCAAUCCCCAUGACUUGACAUGCGUGGUCAUUUCCCAUUAGUACUGAACCAGAAUGCUUCUCGUAUGUUGAGAAUGCAUCUUUCGAAGUACUUAUAUGAAAUGUAGCUCCCGUAUCAAGAAUCCAUCUCCCACCAGCGUAAGAGUCGGAUACUGCAAGAACGAUCUCGGCAUCACUUGAAGAAUCUGCAUCAGCUACAUUCGCACGAUCAUUUUGUUGCUCCUGUGAUUCUGAUUUCUCCUUCCUUUUCGGACAAUCUACCUUCAUGUGCCCGUACUUCUUACAGUAGUAGCACUGUAUUCUCUUCUUGGACUGCGAUCUAGGAUGGCUUUUACUUGAACUUCCACCCUUUGCCUUGGAUCUUCCUCGAGCAACCAAGCCUUCGCCUUCAUUGUUUUCGACCACCUUACCAGUGAUUUUCUUCCUCAACUCACUGGAACUUAAGGCAUUUUUCACCUCCUCUAGAGUCAGGUCAUCACGACCGUACAUCAUUGUAUCAACAAAAUUCUCAUACGAGGGAGGCAAAGAACACAAAACAAUUAUUGCUUGGUCCUCAUCAUCGAUUUUGUUAUCGAUAUUAUUCAAAUCCAUGAUAAUGGAAUUGAAUUUAUCCAGGUGCUGGGAAACAGGUGUACCUUCCUCCAUCUUCAGGGCAUAGAGUCUUUGCUUGAGGUAGAGCCGGUUCGUCAAUGACUUCGUCAUGUACUUGCUCUCUAACCGGAGCCACAAACCGGACGCGGUUUUCUCAUCCGCUACUUCUCGUAGCACUUCAUCUCCUAGACAUAGCAGAAUAGCACUAUGUGCUCUUUCUAGCAUGUCAUCCUUUUGCUCUUCCGAAAGCGUGCUUGGUAAUUUAUCUUUACCAGACAAUGCUUUUAGCAAUCCUUGUUGAACCAGCACUGCCCGCAUCUUGAUGCGCCAUAAACUGAAACUAUUUUUCCCGGUAAAUUUCUCGACAUCAUACUUAGUCGAUGAAACACUUGUAGCCAUAAUUUGGAACCUUUGAAUGAAUGAUAAUAUUUUCUUCCUGAUGUGAAAGAUCAGACAAAGCUGCAGUCACAGGGCAAUUCAGAAAAUAUUAUCACUCCUUCAACUACGCUCUGAUACCAAUUUGUUGCGGAAAGGAUCGAUUCGAGAACUCCGAUAUGACUACAAGUAAAUUGACCGGAACGAAAAAUAAAGUGAACACAAGGAUUUACGUGGUUCGGCUUUAAUGCCUACGUCCACGGGCAGAGGCGAAAAGAAAUUUCACUAUAACAAGAUGAAGAUUACAAGUGUUUUACACUCAAGACACAACCCGAGAACCUCACAACUCUCAACCCCUAUAGAAAACCCGAAAGCUAAAAUCCUAGCUUUCAAAGAACAAGCUUUGCUCUCUCUUGGUUUGGGAUGAUGAAUAUGGCUAAUGAACCUCUCUAUUUAUAAGAGAGUUCAAGGACAUAAUUGUCCAAAACUUUGGCAAAGAUUUGUGGUUGAAAAUGGACACCAACAACCAUCCACUAAUCCACUACCACCAACAACCCACUACCAACAACAACAAUCCACUACCAAUUUUAAGCCAUUUCUUAACAUCUGUGUCCCAUCUUGUCGGAAUCAUUCUCAUUUUAGUCCUCCUCUUGCAAUAACCAAACACCUUUGUGCUUGAUUUCAGUUUGUGACAGUUUCUUUUAAAGUAGAUUUUGAAAAAGCAUAGGUUGUAUGGAAUGACAGUUUCUUAACUUGGUUAUGAAUAAAAUAGGUAAUUGUCAAAUUUUAAUAUAUAAUAAUCCCUAUAGGAGCAAGCAAGUUUUAAUAAAUAUGUAUUGUUAACCCAAAUGAUAGGGAAAUAAAAGGGAAAAAGUGUAAUAAAUAUGUAUUGUAAUAUAUUUUUAUCUUAUUAAAUUAAAUUACGAACUUAAUUCCAACUCAAAUAGAAAUAAAAUAUUUAAUUUAAGCCUCGAAUGCAUUGGCCUCAAUAUAAACACCUUGGAUUCCAUGGGAUUUGUCUCUUUCUUCUCUUUUCUUUCAUAUCUUUUUCAUUAAUUUCAAUUAUUUGUAGGGAUCGAGACUGACAAAUUUUGCCCAAGUUGAUGUAAUUGUGCAGAGCACCCGAUCAUCCCAACUUUGUCUCCAUUGAGAAAUUUGUGUCAAACAUUUCCCAUCAAUCAACAUUAUUUUCAUUUAAUUAUACUACUUGCUGGGUGGAUGGUAACAUUUAUAAAACUUCUUAGUCUCCGCCAGUAUGGAUCCACACCUGUGUUUCAUCUUGUUCCAAUCGUUUUCAUUUUAGUCCACCUCUUGCAAUAUCAAAACACUCUUUGGCUUGAUUUCAGUUUGAACCGGCAAUGGCCGAAGCAAUUGCAUUCGACCUCGCUGUAGAGCUUAUUACUAAAUUGAGCUCCUUUACUCUCUCUAAAAUUGGACUGUCGUGGAAUGUCAAAGAUGACCUCGACGACCUCGAACGCACCGUCUCCACAAUCAAAGAUGUGCUUCUUGACGCAGAAGAGAAAUCGAAGACCAACAAUCUUGUCAAAGUUUGGCUUAAGAAGCUGAAAGAAGUACUUUAUGAUGCCGACGACUUGUUCGAUAAUUUCUCUGCCGAAGCUUUGCGGAAAGAUCUAUUGGGCGGGAACAAGCUGACGAAAGAGGUACGCGUUUUCUUCUCAAGCUCAAACCAGUUUGCAUACAGUGUCAAAAUGGGUCGGAAAAUUAAGGCCAUUAAGGCGAGGCUAACUUUGAUCGGAAGUGAGGCCAAGAUGUUCAAUUUGGUAGAGCGUGACCGCCCCAUGGAAACCUCUUUCAUGACUAAAAGGAGGCAGCAAACGUCCUCUUUUAUGCGUGAAGGUGAAAUAAUAGGGAGGGAUGAUGAUAAAUCAGCUCUUCUAAAACUCAUGUUAGAGAAUGAAGGUGAAGAGAAUGUUUACGUCAUUCCAAUUGUGGGGUUUGGAGGGUUAGGGAAGACUGCGUUGGCGAAGUUUGUUUAUAAUGAUGAAAUUGUCCGUGGUCAUUUUGAAUGGUCGACGUGGGUGUAUGUUUCAAAUGUUUUUGAUGUCAAAAGAAUUGUAAAAAGCAUUAUAGAAUCUGUAACAGGCCAAGCACUAGAUCAAAGUCUCGAAAUGGACCAGUUAGGAAAACAACUUCGAGAUAAAAUUAGUGGGAUAAAAUAUUUGCUUGUUUUGGAUGACAUUUGGAAUGAGGAGCGGGAAGCAUGGUUAAGCUUAAAGAAUUUAUUGAUGGGUGGGGCUAAAGGAAGUAGGAUAAUAAUAACUACUCGCUCUAUGAAGGUAGCAAAGAUUACU